GACGAACGCUGGCGGCGUGCCUAAUACAUGCAAGUAGAACGCUGAAGAGAGGAGCUUGCUCUUCUUGGAUGAGUUGCGAACGGGUGAGUAACGCGUAGGUAACCUGCCUUGUAGCGGGGGAUAACUAUUGGAAACGAUAGCUAAUACCGCAUAACAAUGGAUGACACAUGUCAUUUAUUUGAAAGGGGCAAUUGCUCCACUACAAGAUGGACCUGCGUUGUAUUAGCUAGUAGGUGAGGUAAUGGCUCACCUAGGCGACGAUACAUAGCCGACCUGAGAGGGUGAUCGGCCACACUGGGACUGAGACACGGCCCAGACUCCUACGGGAGGCAGCAGUAGGGAAUCUUCGGCAAUGGGGGCAACCCUGACCGAGCAACGCCGCGUGAGUGAAGAAGGUUUUCGGAUCGUAAAGCUCUGUUGUAAGUCAAGAACGGGUGUGAGAGUGGAAAGUUCACACUGUGACGGUAGCUUACCAGAAAGGGACGGCUAACUACGUGCCAGCAGCCGCGGUAAUACGUAGGUCCCGAGCGUUGUCCGGAUUUAUUGGGCGUAAAGCGAGCGCAGGCGGUUUGAUAAGUCCGAAGUUAAAGGCUGUGGCUCAACCAUAGUUCGCUUUGGAAACUGUCAAACUUGAGUGCAGAAGGGGAGAGUGGAAUUCCAUGUGUAGCGGUGAAAUGCGUAGAUAUAUGGAGGAACACCGGUGGCGAAAGCGGCUCUCUGGUCUGUAACUGACGCUGAGGCUCGAAAGCGUGGGGAGCGAACAGGAUUAGAUACCCUGGUAGUCCACGCCGUAAACGAUGAGUGCUAGGUGUUGGAUCCUUUCCGGGAUUCAGUGCCGCAGCUAACGCAUUAAGCACUCCGCCUGGGGAGUACGACCGCAAGGUUGAAACUCAAAGGAAUUGACGGGGGCCCGCACAAGCGGUGGAGCAUGUGGUUUAAUUCGAAGCAACGCGAAGAACCUUACCAGGUCUUGACAUCCCGAUGCUAUUUCUAGAGAUAGAAAGUUACUUCGGUACAUCGGUGACAGGUGGUGCAUGGUUGUCGUCAGCUCGUGUCGUGAGAUGUUGGGUUAAGUCCCGCAACGAGCGCAACCCCUAUUGUUAGUUGCCAUCAUUCAGUUGGGCACUCUAGCGAGACUGCCGGUAAUAAACCGGAGGAAGGUGGGGAUGACGUCAAAUCAUCAUGCCCCUUAUGACCUGGGCUACACACGUGCUACAAUGGUUGGUACAACGAGUUGCGAGUCGGUGACGGCGAGCUAAUCUCUUAAAGCCAAUCUCAGUUCGGAUUGUAGGCUGCAACUCGCCUACAUGAAGUCGGAAUCGCUAGUAAUCGCGGAUCAGCACGCCGCGGUGAAUACGUUCCCGGGCCUUGUACACACCGCCCGUCACACCACGAGAGUUUGUAACACCCGAAGUCGGUGAGGUAACCUUUUGGAGCCAGCCGCCUAAGGUGGGACAGAUGAUUUGGGGUGAAGUCGUAACAAGGUAGCCGUAUCGGAAGG
rnacentral:rRNA from 1 species